rnacentral:rRNA from 1 species
GUCCACGCUGUAAACGAUGAGGAUUGGAUGUCAGGCAGCAUGGCUGCUUGGUAUCGAAGCUAACGCGAUAAGUUCUCCGCCUGGGAAGUACGGUCGCAAGAUUAAAACUCAAAUGAAUUGACGGGGGCCCGCACAAGCGGUGGAGCAUGUGGUUUAAUUCGAUGCAACGCGAAAACCUUACCUACUCUUGACAUCUCUGGAACCCUGCUUAGCGGCGGGGUGCCGAAGGAACCAGAGACAGGUGCUGCAUGGCUGUCGU